rnacentral:lncRNA from 1 species
AAGAUUAGCAUUAAUUAUUCCUGCAUACAGUACUUGUAAGAAUUUCUUCCUGGACAGGUGAACACCCAGCAGGUGGAUCAGUUUAAAGAAGUUACUGCAGGCGUGGACACGCUUUAUUCCAUCCCUUCAACCAGCUUGCAGCAUCAGGGCACCUACCUGUGUGAGAUCUACUCAGGCCAUCGCUCCAUUGUCAGGCUGUUCUACUAUCUCGCAGUGACCCCCCAGGUUGUGGCAGGCUACACAGAGCUGCAGGAGAUAUUCGACCUGACUCUUCUCCCAGGAGGGCGGUUACUCCCUGUGCCCAGUGGUCCCCCCCUUCUCCUCCCCCCCUCGCCACAGCUUCUCACCGCCUGUUUAACGGCUUUGCUUCUGCUGCUGUUCCUCUCCCUGGGAGCUCUAUAUUGGACAUCAAAGCCAAAGGAAACGAGUUAUGCUGAGCAAUCAGAUGGAGAUGGAGAUGUACAUUUAGGAUUCUGAGAGUUUUGAAGAUACAUGUAGUGCAAUAAAGGCAUUUCAUCCAUCCUCUGGUCUUCCACAGAGCAUUACGUCAUAGUUUUACAGAAAGCCUGUGUGUGACUCCUUUCACCACUAGAGGGCAGGAUCUGUCAGCGGUGCCCGGUCUACACUGCUGCAUGAAACAACCACAUUUAUUCUCUACUGCUCUCAGAGUGAUGGAGAGUAACUAACUUUAUUUACUCACUUUCUGUGCUUUCUGUAAGUACAACUUUAAGAUAUUUAAAAUACAGAAAACUUACAAAACAUGUGAUAAGCUAAAAUCUAUACAGUUUGUAAACAGUAGUCAAAAUUAGCUCCACUUGAACCAAGUUAAGUCAUACUUUCACUUUUGAUAUGUUAUUAACAUUGUUCCCAUAUCACUUCUGCACCUGCACGGAGGGUCGCCUCCCACCUCCUACUGUGGAGGUGCCUUUGAGCAAGGCACCAGGCCUCCACACUGCUCCCCGGGCGCUGUACAGUAGCUGCCCACUCCUCCUGAGAGUAGGAUGGAUUAAAUACAGAGUCUAAAUUCCACUGUGUGUGCUGUGUACAUGUAUGUGACCAUUCAUUUGCAUUUCCAAAACUUUCUUUGUUCCACUGGCCUGUGUGAAAGGAUACAGCCAGCUGGAACAAUCAAGACUUCAGGUGACCACAAGGAGGCAGCAAUACACACUAUCUCAUACCAGAAAGCACAAGAAGAAGAAGACAUCCUAGAUUUAUUCGGGGAUAUGUAGCUUGAAUUGGC